UGCACUGGACAGCCACCUCGCAGAAGUGCAGCCCUAGCCUACACCAGGCUGUACUGAUACUAGUUCUUGGCUAAUCUCAAAGUAUGUCAUUACAGGCCCGGGAUGUGAUCCUUCCUUUUGUGAUCCAUCAGCAGCUGAAGCAUUCCUGAAAGGAAACCGGUUGAACAUAUGUGGUUUGGCAAGAGUGAGCUGAACCCUCCGUCGGUUUUGAAAAAGGGUGUAUUCUCCACAAACCCAAAACAAAGCAACUCCUGGAAGCUGAACACUCCCAUGUGGUAGCAAACGAGAUGAAACUAAGGAGAGAAUGGAGGGUUCUCCACAGAUCACUGUCGGCCCAAAGAAUCUUCCUGCUUGCCUCUAAAGAUCUAGCAGAUCACAAGGUGUUGGCACCUCUCUCUUCAGUUGCUAAGUUGUUGUUACAAGGCAGCUAAAACAUAUUAAAUACUUUCCUAAAAUUAUUUUUCCAUGCAGGCAGUUGCUGUAUCUGGCACAAAGAUGUUAUAUGAUCAGUAAUGGGAAGUGAAACUGAGCCAGUUUCUCUUCAAAAUGUGGCCAGCCCUAUGGGACGAUUUGAGAACUGCUUUAAAUAUGUUGUGUGUGUGGAGACACUACUUUGGUGUUCUUCAUCUCCUGACACUGAGGCUUUUACUGUGCAUAGCUGAGAUUCUUGCAUAAUUUAACAGAGCCAUCUCAGGUGUCUCCCACUCUGUUCAGAGCAUUCGAGCUGUGUUCUCUGGAUUUUGGCACACAGCUCAUAUCACAUCACAUUUACAGAAGAGUUUACCAGACUUGCUUAUUUAGAAAAUUUCCUAGAGAACAGGUUGGGUUUUUUUUUUUUUCAAACACAUAUAUUUGAAUGGGUCCCAAAGUAUUUAUGACAGCUGCUUCAAGUCAAGUUUUUUGUUUCCUUGAUUUUAAUCUGAUACAAGUAUAAUCAAUAUUAGUCAUUUUUGUGUCUCAAAUUCCAGCAUUAUUGGUGCAAGUGAAAUAAAUAGUCCUAGACAUCUUUUUUUUCUGAUGCAUUGUAAAUGCUUGCUGGGUUUUUUUGUGUUACUGUUUCAUCUUCAUAGUAUUACAGCAGACAGGCUUGUGGCUAGAGGAAAGACUAGCUGGAUGGAACUGGAACCAGCAAAAAAUCUGUUUCAGUCAUUGCAAACUGAGGAUACUGAAAAAUACAAUGUUUCAGUCAUUGCAAAUUGAGGAUACUGGAAAAUAUGUAAAAAUAGAUUCAUUUAUUAAAAACAUAUUUAUUUUGUUUUCUCACUUUUUCCUAUUAUAAUUGCAAAACCUUCUGAAAUUUGUUGUUCAGCAAAACUCUGAAGUAUAUCUAGGUACAGUAAAUGACUUAUGCAGAUUAUUUUAUUGAAAGAAUAUGCACGUUCAUGUGUACACAUUAUUUGCCUGGUCUUCCUAUUACAGACACAACCUGUAGUAAAAUCCUAGUUUGUUAAAGCAAAGUGGUGCUCUAGAGACUCCAGAUUUCUGACUGAUGUGGUAAAAAUCUGUCAUGUUUGUGUAGGGCACAUGGAGCGUGAAUACAUUAAUAUGAAUGACUAUUAAAAUAUGUUAAACAUUAUUUUUCAUUGGUUUAUGUUGUUUUCCUGAGGAAACAGGGCUUUUGAUAUCUUGAUAAGCAAUCUGUCUGUGAGUCCCCCUUACCAAUUUCUGAAUUUUUCUAGCUGCACUUAAGGUAAUUUUAACUUUCUUCUUUCAUUAUAUUUAUAAAAAUCUCAAAAUACAUCAGGUUUUUUCCCUUCGACUUGUAAAUAUUUUUUUUUUUAAGUUGAUUGAUCAGAAAUACAACAAUUUGCCUCACAACAAUUUACCUGUUUGACUGAUACUUCAAAUUCUGUUUUACUUUGAAUUCUUUCCUGGGUGUCUUCCUCAUGAUCUUGCUUCCAAACCAUAUGAGAUAAGCUGUUCUGUAGUUUUUAUGCUUUUCCAUCCCAUUUCAUGCUACUGAUAUAUAUAUAUAAACUUGUCCAAUCACCAAGCUACAGUCCAAUUUGCUGAACUUUGCAAUACAUCCAUUGAUGCUACUCCAUCCAACUUGAGAAGUUCUGUUGGAGCCUUCUCUGACUUGGAGUCUUCCUGUUCUGAGAAGUUAAUUAUAUUAAUUAUGAAUGCUAUUUCAGAUUUUAAUGGUGGCAGUUCUCCAAUCCAUGUAAUUCAGUAGUUUUUCAUACAGUUCCUCAUUGUAUAAUCAGUGUCUGACCAUCCCUUGUUUUUCGUACCAGAAUCUCACACUUUAAUGAUUUAUUAAUUCUGGUUUGCAGUUAAAACAAUGCCAUUACUGACAUGCAGAAAUCAAAUACCUCCUCAGAGUUUUGCUGCCACCUCCUGAUCCCUGGCACACCUACUGAUAUUUUAUUUAAUCUUGUUUAAUGGUUUGGAUUUGCUUAACUAAGCCACCUACCACCACCAAACUGCACUGAACCAAAAGCAGACAUGUCCUUCAUACUUCUUAAUAUUCAUAUUGUGUUUUAAUACAGUGCUUGGAGAGGAAAAAAACACAUACAGUUGAAAUUAGGAACAAAAAAUGAGUGUUUGCAAUAUUCUGAAUAAAGGUGUACUUAUGAGUUAAA